AGUUUGAUCAUGGCUCAGAAUGAAACCUGGCGGUGUGCCUAACACAUGCAAGUCAAACGACAAUUUAUUUGGAGUGGCGGACGGGUGAGUAACACGUAAGAACCUACCUUUAGGAGGGGGAUACCAUCCCGGGAAACUGGUGCUAAUACCCCAUAUGCUGAGAAGUGAAAUGGUAUUUAACCGCCUAGAGAGGGGCUUGCGGCUGAUUAGCUAGUUGGUGGGGUAAUGGCCUCCCAAGGCGACGAUCAGUAGCUGGUUUGAGAGGAUGAUCAGCCACACUGGGACUGAGACACGGCCCAGACUCCUACGGGAGGCAGCAGUGAGGAAUUUUCCGCAAUGGGCGAAAGCCUGACGGAGCAAUACCGCGUGGAGGAAAAAGAAGACCUGUGGGUUGUAAACUCCUUUUCUCAGAGAAGAAUACUGACGGUAUCUGAGGAAUAAGCACCGGCUAACUAUGUGCCAGCAGCCGCGGUAAUACAUGGGGUGCGAGGUUUAUUCGGAAUGAUUGGGCGUAAAGCGUUCGUAGGUGGUUUCACGAAGUCCACUGUCAAAGAUCAGGGCUUAACCUUGGGCAGGCAGUGGAAACUCGGAAACUCGAGUCAGGUGGGGGCUGAAGGAAUCAACAGCGUAACAGUGAAAUGUGUAGAUAUUGUUGA
rnacentral:rRNA from 1 species